UACGUAGGGUGCAAGCGUGUCCGGAAUUAUUGGGCGUAAAGAGCUCGUAGGCGGUUUGUUGCGUCGGCUGUGAAAUCCCGAGGCUCAACCUCGGGUCUGCAGUCGAUACGAGCAAACUAGAGUGUUGCAGGGGAGACUGGAAUUCCUGGUGUAGCGGUGAAAAUGCGCAGAUAUCAGGAGGAACACCGGUGGGCGAAGGCGGGGUCUCUGGG
rnacentral:rRNA from 1 species